UACGGAGGAUCCGAGCGUUAUCCGGAUUUAUUGGGUUUAAAGGGUGCGUAGGCGGCUUAGUAAGUCAGCGGUGAAAUUUUGCAGCUUAACUGUAACAGUGCCGUUGAUACUGCCAGGCUAGGAUUUGGUUGCUGUGGGUGGAAUGUGUGGUGUAGCGGCGAAAUGCUUAGAUAUCACACAGAAUAUCGAUUGCGAAGGCAGCUCACAAAGCCAAGAUUGACGCUGAGGCACGAAAGUUGGGGAUCAAACAGGAUUA
rnacentral:rRNA from 1 species